rnacentral:rRNA from 1 species
UACGGAGGAUGCGAGCGUUAUCCGGAUUUAUUGGGUUUAAAGGGUGCGUAGGCGGACUGUCAAGUCAGCGGUAAAAUUGAGAGGCUCAACUUCUUCCCGCCGUUGAAACUGGUGGUCUUGAGUGGAUGAGAAGUACGCGGAAUGCGUGGUGUAGCGGUGAAAUGCAUAGAUAUCACGCAGAACUCCGAUUGCGAAGGCAGCGUACCGGCAUCCAACUGACGCUGAGGCACGAAAGCGUGGGGAUCAAACAGG